AGCUCCCGAGAACAAGGUGCAGAGUCCAUCUGAAGCCAGAGUGGAAGGGAAAAUGUGAAUUGCCUCUAGCUUUUUCAGAAACCACCAUCUGACAUUAUACCUUAACACUGAUGUGUAAUUCGUCUUAUCUAUGGUUUAAUGCAACUAUACUUUCAAUACCACCAUGAGCAAAAGUUUUAUGUUGGCUUGUUUCAGUAACAAGAGGUUGCUGCUGAAAGCUUCAGGCAUGUUCUGUCACCCUACCUCACUGGAAUCCGAGGAUGUUCCAGUAGGAAUGCUUCUCACUGAAUUCUCUAGCUGAGUCAUCAUCACCCGGAAGAAAAUGG